rnacentral:rRNA from 1 species
CCUACGGGUGGCAGCAGUGAGGAAUAUUGGUCAAUGGACGAGAGUCUGAACCAGCCAAGUAGCGUGAAGGAUGACUGUCCUAUGGGUUGUAAACUUCUUUUAUAAAGGAAUAAAACGAGGCACGUGUGCCCGUUUGCAUGUACUUUAUGAAUAAGGAUCGGCUAACUCCGUGCCAGCAGCCGCGGUAAUACGGAGGAUCCGAGCGUUCUCCGGAUUUAUUGGGUUUAAAGGGAGCGUAGAUGGGUUGUUAAGUCAGUUGUGAAAGUUUGCGGCUCAACCGUAAAAUUGCAAUUGAUACUGGCAGUCUUGAGUACAGUUGAGGUAGGCGGAAUUCGUGGUGUAGCGGUGAAAUGCUUAGAUAUCACGAAGAACCCCGAUUGCGAAGGCAGCUUACUAAACUGUGACUGACAUUGAUGCACGAAAGUGUGGGUAUCGAACAGGAUUAGAUACCCGUGUAGUC